CAUCUUGAUCUUCACUGUCGUCA
rnacentral:siRNA from 1 species